rnacentral:rRNA from 1 species
AUUCUAGAGCUAAUACAUGCUAAAAACCUCGACUUCGGAAGGGGUGUAUUUAUUAGAUUUCAAAGCCAAUGCCCUUCGGGGCUGACAGCUGAUUCAUGAUAACUUAACGAAUCGCAUGGCCUUGCGCCGGCGAUGGUUCAUUCAAAUUUCUGCCCUAUCAACUUUCAAUCGUAAGGUCUUGGCUUACGAUGGUGUUAACGGGUAACGGGGAAUUAGGGUUCGAUUCCGGAGAGGGAGCCUGAGAAACGGCUACCACAUCCAAGGAAGGCAGCAGGCGCGCAAAUUACCCAAUAGCGACACGCUGAGGUAGUGACAAUAAAUACUGAUCGGGGGCUCAUUUGGGCCUCCGAAUCGGAAUGAGUACAAUUUAAAUCCCUUAACGAGGAACAAUUGGAGGGCAAGUCUGGUGCCAGCAGCCGCGGUAAUUCCAGCUCCAAUAGCGUAUAUUAAAGUUGUUGCAGUUAAAAAGCUCGUAGUUGAACCUUGGGCCUGGCUGUCCGGUCCGCCUCACCGCGUGUACUGGUUCGGCCGGGCCUUUCCUUCUGGGGAGCCGCAUGCCCUUUAUUGGGUGUGCCGGGGAACCAGGACUUUUACUUUGAAAAAAUUAGAGUGUUCAAAGCAGGCCUAUGCUCGAAUACAUUAGCAUGGAAUAAUAGAAUAGGACGUGCGUCCUCAUUUUGUUGGUUUCUGGUGGCGCCGUAAUGAUUAAUAGGGAUAGUCGGGGGCAUCAAUAUUGAGUUGUCAGAGGUGAAAUUCUUGGAUUUACUCAAGAUUAACUACUGCGAAAGCAUUUGCCAAGGAUGUUUUCAUUAAUCAGUGAACGAAAGUUAGGGGAUCGAAGACGAUCAGAUACCGUCGUAGUCUUAACCAUAAACUAUGCCGACUAGGGAUCGAGCGGUGUUACUAUUUUGACCCGCCCGGCACCUUACGAGAAAUCAAAGUUUUUGGGUUCUGGGGGGAGUAUGGUCGCAAGGCUGAAACUUAAAGAAAUUGACGGAAAGGCACCACCAGGCGUGGAACCUGCGGCUUAAUUUGACUCAACACGGGAAAACUCACCAGGUCCAGACACAGUAAGGAUUGACAGAUUGAGAGCUCUUUCUUGAUUUUGUGG